UAAAAGGUGCCUGUACCGCAAACCGACACAGGUAGGCGAGGAGAGAAUCCUAAGGUGUGCGAGAGAACUCUGGUUAAGGAACUCGGCAAAAUGACCCCGUAACUUCGGGAGAAGGGGUGCUUUCUUAACGGAAAGCCGCAGUGAAUAGGCCCAAGCGACUGUUUAGCAAAAACACAGCUCUCUGCGAAGCCGUAAGGCGAAGUAUAGGGGGUGACACCUGCCCGGUGCUGGAAGGUUAAGGAGAGGGGUUAGCGUAAGCGAAGCUCUGAACUGAAGCCCCAGUAAACGGCGGCCGUAACUAUAACGGUCCUAAGGUAGCGAAAUUCCUUGUCGGGUAAGUUCCGACCCGCACGAAAGGUGUAACGAUUUGGGCACUGUCUCAACCAGAGACUCGGUGAAAUUAUAGUACCUGUGAAGAUGCAGGUUACCCGCGACAGGACGGAAAGACCCCGUGGAGCUUUACUGUAGCCUGAUAUUGAAUUUUGGUACAGUUUGUACAGGAUAGGCGGGAGCCAUUGAAACCGGAGCGCUAGCUUCGGUGGAGGCGCUGGUGGGAUACCGCCCUGACUGUAUUGAAAUUCUAACCUACGGGUCUUAUCGACCCGGGAGACAGUGUCAGGUGGGCAGUUUGACUGGGGCGGUCGCCUCCUAAAGUGUAACGGAGGCGCCCAAAGGUUCCCUCAGAAUGGUUGGAAAUCAUUCGUAGAGUGCAAAGGCAUAAGGGAGCUUGACUGCGAGACCUACAAGUCGAGCAGGGACGAAAGUCGGGCUUAGUGAUCCGGUGGUUCCGCAUGGAAGGGCCAUCGCUCAACGGAUAAAAGCUACCCCGGGGAUAACAGGCUUAUCUCCCCCAAGAGUCCACAUCGACGGGGAGGUUUGGCACCUCGAUGUCGGCUCAUCGCAUCCUGGGGCUGUAGUCGGUCCCAAGGGUUGGGCUGUUCGCCCAUUAAAGCGGUACGCGAGCUGGGUUCAGAACGUCGUGAGACAGUUCGGUCCCUAUCCGUCGUGGGCGUAGGAAAUUUGAGAGGAGCUGUCCUUAGUACGAGAGGACCGGGAUGGACGCACCGCUGGUGUACCAGUUGUUCUGCCAAGGGCAUAGCUGGGUAGCUAUGUGCGGAAGGGAUAAGUGCUGAAAGCAUCUAAGCAUGAAGCCCCCCUCAAGAUGAGAUUUCCCAUAGCGUAAGCUAGUAAGAUCCCUGAAAGAUGAUCAGGUUGAUAGGUUCGAGGUGGAAGCAUGGUGACAUGUGGAGCUGACGAAUACUAAUAGAUCGAGGACUUAACC
rnacentral:rRNA from 1 species